rnacentral:rRNA from 1 species
UCCGUAAGGUGAACCUGCGGAGGGAUCAU